GAGCCUUCAUUCAAACUAAAAGGCUGGAAGGGAGGCAGCUGCCUUUGUUUGCCAUGGAUGGGUAGGGGCUGCACUGAGCAGCACCGGUGUUCUUCAUCCGGCUGCACCCCCAACAGAGCUCUUUCUUCCCCAGAUCCCUUUUACAGUUGGAUUCUCCCUCUUGGAUCUGGCUCUGCCUUAGUCCGACCUAGAGGGAUCAGCUUCGCCCACGCCCACUCUCACCCGGAACCUUUCAUCUCUUAUUGAAGCCUUUUAGGCCCAUUGGGAUGUUCAUUAGAACUCUGAAAACUACAGUUCUCCCCUUUAUGAGGACUGCACCACAGCUCGCCCUCUCCUGGGUUCCGGUAAGAAGAGAUUCCAAUACCACUCUUUUUUCAGAAUUCAGAAAGGCAAGAGACCACCUUACUGAGCUUCAAACUGGGGCUGGGAACGCUGCCAUGAAUUGGGCUUGGUCUGUCUGAAGGGAGCCACCUUUUCGACAAUCCUUAGACUUCUUUUGCCUGUUGGAAUUACACCUUGGAUCGUGGCGAAGUCUAUAGAGGUCAGAUUAAGAAGAACCAAAGCAGAAUAAACGUAGAACCCGAUGCUGAGUUCACGAGUGAGGACGACCUCUUCCUAUAUGCUUUGCUAUACCCUGCGUUUUGAACAUUAAGGACGAGAUAGGAGGCCCAUAAUGUUUCUUCUUGCUUUAAUCCUGUCGUGGCAACGUUGACUUCCAGUAAGAAAGAGUGAGCCCAUGGGACAGCCCUCUGAAAUUAUACUGCUUACAACCAUGCUGAGUCUGCAAGGACUUCGUCCAAGCCUUUCCGUCCAGGACCUCAAACAGAUCCAA
rnacentral:lncRNA from 1 species